GUUAAAUGAACCGUAGUUGUUCAAAAAGAAAAAACUUCUCUUUCAUCAAAACGAGAAGAAGAAGAAGAAAAACUCCAUAGCCACCGAUCUCCCUCCGUGGUUGGCCGUGCUUCUCACUGCCGCUACGUGAGGGAGGAUCUGCUCCUCCUCUUUAGUUUGAGCUUAGUCUUGUCUAAUUUCGUCUUGUGUUUUUAAGUUUUUUGUGAAUCGGAUCGGUGAUUCGAUCGUUUAAGUCUCCGGCGACGCUCCUUCUUCUUCGGUGGUCGUCCGGCUCUGUCUCUGGGAAGCGAUAGCUCUUUUUGCAUCGGCUUUGCCGGCUUUUGUUUUCGGGAGGGGAUGGCUUCUCUAGCAUCUCUAUCGCCGGCUCUGUGUCUCCGGGAAGGGAUGGCUUCUCUAGCAUCUCGAUCGCUGGCUUUGUGUCUCCGGGAAGGGAUGGCUUCUCUAGCAUCUCGAUCGCCGGCUUUUUCUCAGAGAGUAUCCGGUUAGUCUAUGCCGUCGACGUUGAUCCGUAGAAUCGUCGUGAUAGCUCCGGAGGGUUCGAUUACGACACGGGUGGACUGUUCCGUGUUGGUAAUGGUUUGUUGUGGGCUUUAGGCCCAAGUUUGGUUUAGCAAGUGAACGGUUUGUCUGUGUACCUUUUACUUAUGAAUGUUGUAGUCUCGGAUUUGGUUCUUUUUCGGACUUUCGAUCCACUAAUAAAAUUCUUGACGGAAAAAAAAAAAAAAA